GACGACGCUGGCGGCGUGCCUAACACAUGCAAGUCGAGCGGAGUCGAUCGACGGAAGCCUUCGGGCGGAAGAUGGUUGACUUAGCGGCGGAUGGGUGAGUAACGCGUGGGCAACCUGCCUCGAAGACCGGGAUAACAGCCCGAAAGGGCUGCUAAUACCGGAUGUGGUCAAGGAUCCGCAUGGAUUUUUGAUUAAAGGGGAAACCCGUUUCGAGAUGGGCCCGCAUCCUAUCAGCUAGUUGGUGAGGUAAAAGCUCACCAAGGCGACGACGGGUAGCCGGCCUGAGAGGGUGACCGGCCACACUGGAACUGAGACACGGUCCAGACUCCUACGGGGGGCAGCAGUGGGGAAUCUUCCACAAUGGGCGAAAGCCUGAUGGAGCGACGCCGCGUGAGCGAAGAAGGCCUUCGGGUUGUAAAGCUCUGUCUGGAGGGACGAAGGAAGUGACGGUACCUCCGGAGGAAGCCACGGCUAACUACGUG
rnacentral:rRNA from 1 species